GUCUCCUUAGCUUAGUUGGUAGAGCAUCUGACUCUUAAUCAGAGGGUCGUAGGUUCGAAUCCUACAGGGGACA
rnacentral:tRNA from 1 species